AACAAACGCUGGCGGUGUGCCUAAUACAUGCAAGUCGAACGGGGAAAGCUUUCGGGUGAGUACUAGUGGCGCACGGGUGAGUAACGCGUGGAUAAUCUGCCUUAGAGUGGGGGAUAACUAGUCGAAAGAUUAGCUAAUACCGCAUAAGACCACAAGAACUGCGGUUCAAGGGGUCAAAGGUUUUUCGCUCUAAGAUGAGUCCGCGUAAGAUUAGCUAGUUGGUGAGGUAAUGGCUCACCAAGGCGACGAUCUUUAACUGGUCUGAGAGGAUGAUCAGUCACACUGGAACUGAGACACGGUCCAGACUCCUACGGGAGGCAGCAGUAGGGAAUAUUGCACAAUGGAGGAAACUCUGAUGCAGCGACGCCGCGUGAGUGAUGAAGGCCUUCGGGUCGUAAAGCUCUGUCGCAAGGGAAUAACACAAUGAAUGUACCUUGCAAGAAAGGAUCGGCUAACUUCGUGCCAGCCGCCGCAGUAACAC
rnacentral:rRNA from 1 species